rnacentral:lncRNA from 1 species
CAUUAUUUGAAGUCACAAGAGGAGCGACUUAACCCCAUCACAACAGAUCUAGAGCAUCAAAACACCAAAUUUAGUUGUAGGCAUCAUGGUGCUCCAAGAGGUAGGCCUCAAUGACCUUAAAGAGGUGAGAGGCCUUCUCUUUUCCGGCCUUGACAUGCUCUUCCUUGAUCUCAACAUCACCCUUGACAUGGUAUUCACUGGUGCUCUUGAUGACGGUACCACUGCCGGAUGCCACCAACUUAGUCUCGUAGCAGAUCUUCUCGAUUGAGUCAGGAGCUCCCUCAAUCACACUGUAGCUGUAGACAAAGUUCUCACAGUCAAUGGCAUCAAUUCUGUGCUUUACAAAGCUGUAAGUGCUACCUGCAAAUAUCAUGAAACAAAUUAGUUAAGUAUGAAAAAUGCAUGAUCCGUCUAUAAAUUCUGUGUUGUGGCGCAAAAUAAGUCUAGGAUUUUGAUUUACUAUGAAUUUGUAUCAAUGUUAACGUGAGCUAGACUAGUUACCUUCGCCGAAGGUGAUCUUCUUGAUGGUUCCAACACCACCAUCUCCUUCGAGGAUCUCAGCGGACUUAACUGCCUGGGGGGCAAUCUUGGGGAUGAGGUUGUCAGCAUCGAGAACGAAAGCCUUGAACAACCUAGCUGGGGCGAUAACAGAAGUGUAUUCAGCCUCGUACUUGAAGACACCCAUGAUUAGUAGUCAAGUAUAUGGAAACUGAUGAGAAAACGAAGGAGGGGAAGAUCACUUAGAUUGAUGAUGUUGUAGUGGGAGAUUUUGAGUUGUGAAGAACUGAGUAGUAGCUACGGGUAUUUAUAGGUUCGACGAUGAAGGUUUACAUUACAAGUUUCAAAUUGUUUAAUUGGUUGUGAGCAUUGUGCCGUGGUGACCAUUACGUUUGUACAUGGAAUAUCUUGAAACUUAGUCAAGGAAGGCACCUUGGUAUUAAUAAGAAACAUCCAAUUAAGCUCACGAGGUGAACUAUAAUCUUAAGAAGUUUCUUCCCAUUGUUUGAUAAAAGGUACAAUAUCCAUGUGCAACUAACCUAUGAUUUUCGAUGAACCAUGUUCUCUCCGAUUUUAAAAUUUCUAACAGAUUGAUAUCAAGGUUCACAGACAUUAGAAUUUUGAACAGAGUAAUGAUCGAUCAUCACUCUCUGUCUAUCGAUAUAGAUAUAUCGAUCGAUCAAGGUUCACAGACAUUAGAAUUCUCUUCAGAAGCAGCUUGAGUUGAUUCAUUCCCAUUAAUAAGUUUCCAGUUCCAUGUUUUCAUUUCUAUUCACCCUCUCAUUUUCACUAUUCACCAUCCUUAGCAGUUCAAAUAGUAAAAGCAAAGACGAUCAUCAGAGCCCACAAAAUUAACAAUGACUUUGUUCCUUGCUGGCUAACGAUCCCACUAGCUAGGUUACACCAAAAUCCCAUGUUUUAAUAUUAGUAUGAAUAUCAUUUAAGCAAGUUGAGAGAGAAAAUUAUAUCAUCUGAACAAUAAUAUAGUUUCUGUCCAGUGACGAUCCAUAUAAUAGAACUGCAUGGACCCUUCUGUUUUAUCAAAAGGACUUGGAAUAAUCUAUAUAUAUGAAAAAAAUAUAUACAUGCAAUGUAUCGACAAGAAUGAAAAGUUAAGAACGUGAACCUGAACUGGUUAAGAGCAUGUUUAAGAGCUGUUGAAAAUGGAAGCUUUCGGAUCUAGCAGCCGAUGUUGAAAUGCAGGUCAUUCGAUCAAGUCGAGUCAUCCUAGCUAGCUAUUUCGAAAUUUCUGUGAAAUGUGCAGUUUUACCAUUUGAUUCCAACUUUCCAAGUAAUGCACGUAGUACUCGAUCUUAAACCCCACUUAUAGAUCUUACUGACUCAUAAAGUCAUAAUUUGAUAGCGCUCUAUAGUGAAAUGACUGAAAUCUAGAGUGCUUCACUCUUGGUAAAGUUAAAAAGUUUUCUGCACCGACCACACCAUUAUCGCACAUGUUAGAACUUAGAAACCAGCUGAGUACACAGAACUGUCGACUGAAGUUACUUUGCCAAAGGUUGAUGAGAGCACAAGUAGCUGAAAGCAAGAAGCAAAAUAUAAAAACAAGGACAACGAGCGUGCGUGAACCAAUUCCGAUUAGAAGCUUUGUUUUACGUUCAAGACUUGAAAAGCUUCAGUCAUUCAAUAAUGGCAACCACGGUUGAUUAACAUUUGUUAUCAGUAUUCUGUUAACAGUUCCAUUAUGAUGAAUGAGUUUGAAUCCCCUUUCUCCCGAAGAAAAAAGGGAAAUGAGUAUAAAUUAAAGUAGAAAAAUGAUCGAGUACGUUCCUUCGACUUCAUGAUCAUCGAUCCUACUCUUGGAUCCAAAACCUUUUUCUUUUUUUUCUUUUUUUUUUGAGAAUGGGAUCCAAUACACUUGUUUCUGAUCUAUUUUGGGAAUUCGCGUACAUGCUACUGAUUAUUGGAAUUUUUGAUGUGAUAUUUCAAAAUACAAAAAUUAUUUAUUGAGUUUAAUUGUAGUCAAUUAUUUGGUGCUUUGAUUUCUAACGUAACUCUCAUUUUAUAAGUACAUCCGUUGCAAUUGUAACACAUAUUAACUCUUUUUUGUCUGUUAUUCUCCUUGACUUCAUGAUUUGAAUGUUGUCAGUUAGAAGCCUUUAUUCUAUCAUGAUUAUAUCUUCUCAUACACUACUAUAUAUACUCUUCAUGUCAACCUUAUCAAGAUAUACAUAAUGAAAAUUUCAUUUUAUUCUCUAUUCUCAUUUCUCCCUAGUCAUUCCUCUUGUGAGUCCAACCAUAUUAUGAGUUAUGCCAAAAUGAGUUGUCAAGCGGUUCUACGAUCCAAGUAUUGCGAGUGUACGCUUACGAGGAUCAACGGUUGUUGUACCCUGGAGGGUAGGGCGCCAAAAACCUAUUACACCGAGCAUUGUCUCCGAGGGGCGAAAUCUACUCUUGAGGGCAGUAUUUACACGCCUCAACCUUAAACAUUUUCUUGAACAAGUGUUUGAUGCAUGCUUCAUAAUCAAAGAUAAGUAUUUAUAUUUUGUUAUUUUAUUGUUAUUUUGGCAUCAUUAUAAGUAUUAUUAUUUGUUAAUAAUUUUGAGUAUUUAUGUGAUUUUGUAGGUGACAAAAUCUGGUGACGUUAUUAACAUCCAUUGACCCAAAUUUUCUAACAAUCUUAAGAGUAGACAUCGUUGGUGGAUGUUUCCUUGUGGUAGAAACUUUGAUAUAAAGAUAAGUCCUCUACUACUAGUCUACUAUAUAUUACUUAAUAUUUUUACGAGGUUACUAUCAUUUAAAAGAGCUUUGAAAGCUUUUCUUCUAAACCCAAAAGGGUUGCUUUUAAUUUAUUUGAUGAAUUAUAUUGGGCUCUCAUAUUAUAUAAUUGUCAUCAUGUAUGCAUGAUCAUUAUAUUAUUUGCUUAGUAUCGUUUUAUCUAUUAAUUAAUACUACUUACUCUGCAUGGUUACAAUAACAUGUGUGAUAUUGUGAUGAUUGAACAACUUGUAAGGUUAUCACAUAUGUUACAAUGUAAAUGUGCUUAUAGUCUAAAUGCUUUAUGAGUAAGUAUUAAAACGGGCAAUUAUAUUCUUUAGUAAUGCAUGCGGUAAUUAUAAUUUAUGUUGUGUGUUAUUAUUACAUUGCACUAACAUUGGUUUUUAUGAUUGAAGGAAAAUAAAUAUGAUUGCCAUGAGGAUAUGGUUACUAUUAAUACAGUUGCCUAAUUAUAUAUCGUGGGUUACUCGAUAUUUGCUCAGAUAAUUGGCUCGGUAUGUUGCCAUAAAGAUUUCUGGUUGCCAUUUGAAUUUGUGUAGCCUUUCGAAAUUGAUGGUUACAAAUGUGGGGGUGACUAAUGUCAUCUAAAGGUACAAAUUGGUACAUGCCAAGAUAGUUACCUAAAUAAAUGUGAGUGAUACUGUCACGUCAGUAUAUAUGAGUUUAUGGCUAUCAGUCAUACCAAAAAAUGUGGGGGUCAAAGAAAAACAAGGAAAGAUUGGCUCUUAUGGUCCAAUGAUAUUGGAUAACUGAGAAUCCAAUUGUGAUUACUUAUUCUCGAGAAUAUUCAAUAAGUUUCAUAUGUGAGAGUUGAUUUUGGCAGAUACUCUUACAACCACUACGCUAAAGACCAAAGCUAGUGAUUAGUACAUCGAGGGGGAUGAGACUUAUGCCUAUAACAAAGGUCAAGAGUGAUGGUAACCUAACCUAUGUGAUUGGAGAUCCCAUGAAGUAGGUUCAUAUGGGUAAUAACAAGUCAAUUGUUGAUCAGUGGUGCACUAUCAAAUUAAAAAUUUAGAGUCUAUUCCUAUGAUGUAAAGAUAAUGCUUUAACUAGAACGUAUAAUUAAGAAUAAACUUUGUUCUUAAGGAGUACCAUAGCCCUUUCUUUUGGGUGGUGUGUUUGAUUCCAGUACACACUUGAUGGACUCACCUAUAUGAGUGUGGAAAUGGGGCCGCUUCUUAUGAGACUUGCACUACCAGGAUAAGCACUUUAGCCGAUAAAAAGUUUCGUCGGUCUGUUAGCUUAAUUUGUCGGCUAAGAUCUUAGCCGACGAAGGCUCGUAGGCUAAGAUUUCGUCGGGAAAAGGUCGUCGGCGACGACUUUAGCCAACGAAACUAGAAGACGUCGUCGGCUAUAGUCCCAUAGUUUAGCCGACGAAAAACAUGUCGUCGGUUUUCUUCCCAGACUUUAGCCGACGAAACAUUUAAGAUAUUCGUCGGCUAAAGUCUGUCAUAAAAAAUUAAAAGAAUAACUAUAGCUGACGAAAUAUAGUCUAUUUCGUCGGCUUUAGAAGGGUUUAGCCGACGAAACAUUCCAUAUUUCGUCGGCUAAACCUUAUUUAAAAAAAAUUAAAAUACUAUAGCCGACGAAUUAUUGCGUAUUUCGUCGGCUAUAAGUCAAUUCCAGUAAAAAAACCCGAAAUUUCUAAAUUACCAUUCCAAGCAAGCUGCAAAAUACAUCAAAACAAUUCCAUAUAACCAACAACAAACACAUAAAACUAUAUAAUUCAUCAACUACACAAAAUCUAGAUCGUCUAAAUUAAUAUCCGCUUCUGGGUGCUGCUGCGGAGGUUGCGGCGGCUGGGGUAGCGGUAUAGCCGUAGGCAUGGGUGGAGCCGGAAGUCCCUGAAGCUGGGCAGCUGUAAAGUCCUGCAUGUACUGGAACAUCUGCUGCUGCUGGAUGGCAUGUAUCUCGGCAGCAUAGGCUGCCUGCGAGGCAUUAUAGGCUGCUUGCGAGGCAUUAUAGGCUGCCUGAGUAGCUUGCUGUUCCCAUAGUCUCUAAACUUUUGACUCUGGCUGAGUCGUCCUGGUGGUCGUGGUCCUGCUGCUGGUCGAGGCUGCAUUUCGUUGAAAUCCUGGAGUGGUCUUCAAGACCCCCUCGCCCUUCUUUCCUAGGCCCUAGCAGUAAAAGUUGUUUGCUCACGAUGGGAAGGCUGUGCCCAUGAUCCUCGCCCCAACCGUCAGAUCCGAAGUGUCGAUCCGGGACAUGGCUUUGGACAUCUCUUCCUCCUGUGUGUCCGGCCAUGUCUCCCUCACUAUAGCACUCAUCACCUUGUCACUAGCCUCCCUCACCUUCACCUAAUUGAAUAAGAAAAAAAUUAUUAAUUAACAUUUUGACAUAUAUAUAAAUAAAAUUAAAAAUUUAAAAACAUAAGAUGACUUACAAUAUCCUCCUGGACGUCAGGAUAUCCCUUCUCAUACGUAUAGACGUACCGGUUGACUUCUGGAUGUUCCCUAGCCGCCUCGUCCAUGAAGACAGCGAAUGGUCUAGAACCGGCAUGAUGGUUCCUUGUGUUGCGUUGCCGGUUCUGAGCGUUCGCCCGGGAAACGGCCUUCAAAGAAAAAAAAACUAUUAGUAAAAUAUUUAAAAACACACGUACUUAAUGACAAAUUAACUAAUUAAUUUUUUUAAAUACCUGUUUAUGAGGGUUGUUGAAUUCUGAUGUCAGAAGCCAACGCCACUCGUACUCCCUGUACUGGAACUCAGCAGGGGUACCAGAAUGUGCGUUCCCGUGAGUAGUCUAGUGAGUCCGCAACUCGUUCUUCCACUCCUUGUACCUACAGAUACAACAAAAAUAUUAGAAAUAUUAUUAAGAUCACAUACAAUUUUGUUUUUUCAUUAACUUCCCAACGUACCUUCCCCCAUGCACAACGUCCGCCCAGCUGCUCUUUAGGUGCUCGGGAACCUCAAACCACACCUGCAUUUAACCGUUUAUUAGUUUAAUUUUUCGAGAAAUCAACAAUGUAAUACAUAAUAUUAUUGAGGCAUUUUGUAAACUCACCGACAUCGCGUUGUGGACCAUGUCCUUAACCUCCUGCGGGACCUCGCCCCAGUCUGACCACAACAUAGGGACUCUAUCCCUAAUGAGUGCUCCCACGCGGCAGGAGUACGUCCUCGACUUCCCGCCUGAUACUACGUCGCCAUCCCCGUCAGUACGGAUGACAAUCCUCCCUGAGGUACUGACGAUCUUCUCGAGAGCCUUCCUUGUGACGGGGCCUCUCUUCUUCUUUGCCGGCUUCGCUCCGACGGUGCCUAUCACAUGAUAAACCAAAUUGAUUAUUAAAAUCGGAGAAUUAUAAGAAAACAAUCAUUCAUCUUUCAUUACCUGAGGGCGAUGCGGCGGACACGACGGAUUCCGUUUCUGUCGCCGAUGAUGAUACCCUCGCGAAAAUAAGAGGCGUAUCAAAAGGUACAAAUCGGUAUGCCGCUGAUGGAGCCACUAGCGGGGGCAGUGGAUAAAUCAGCGUCCCUGAGCCAUUGACUGCAGGUAAGGCCGGUAUCAUCCGCGGAAGGAACAUAUGAGGCGGCGGCAUCUGUACCCCAGAUGACCCACUAUCCGAAGAAGUAGGACCCGGAGUGGGCGCCCGGUGUAUCUCAGGCAUACGGGGUGCAAACACCUCCGUCUGGGUCUGAGGCCACAGCUGCCUCGAGGAAUGAGGGACGCCCCGCUGCCUCGAUGAAGGGGGCACCUCUGACUGCCUUUGCGCCGUCUCCAAAAGGGCCGCACGUCUGGCUGUCAUGGGGCCCUGAAACGACGUUUGAGGGUUGCUAGAGGUUUCCUCAGACGAUUCGGACCUUUGGCCCUUCGAACCCUUCGUCGAUCUAAAAUUACCGCUCAUCCUGUUUAAAAUAUUAAUUUGAAUCAAGGCCAAUGUUUUAAAAAAUAUACACUUCCUAAAUACAAAUAUACACUUCCUAAAUACUAAAUACAAAUAUACACUUCCUAAAUAUAAAUAUACAUUUCCUAAAUAAAAAUAUACACUUCCUAAAUACAAAUAUACACUUCCUAAAAGUCAAAAGGAACUAAGAAAUUAUGAAUACUGCAAUGAUAUUAACAUUCUCCAAAAACGGAGUAUAUAUACAAGAGAUAUCAAAACCUAUUAGGAAACUAACUAUGACAGGAUAUUCCUAAAAUAACACAAUAUUCACAAUCCUAAUACUAUAUGGUAUGACUCACUUCAACACUCCCCCUCAAAUGCGCAUACAAAUCACCAAUGCCCAACUUGUCAAGAGAGUCAUGAAAGGCUUUACUUGAAAGAGCUUUUUUCGUAAGGAUAUCAGCCAAUUGUUCUUCUGUAGGGACAAAAGGAAAAAAAAUAAUCUGAUCAUCCAACUUCUCUUUAAUGAAAUGUCGAUCUACCUCCACAUGCUUUGUGCGAUCAUGUUGAACAGGAUUGUGAGCAAUUUCAAUAGCAGCCUUAUUAUCACAAUAAAGCGGCAUAGCCUUCUUUUGCCGAAAUCCCAAAUCUCUCAACAAGUGUCUCAACCACAACAUCUCACAAAGUCCUUGAGCCAUUUCUCUAUAUUCUGCUUCAGCACUAGAACGAGCUACCACAUUUUGCUUCUUACUUUUCCAAGUAACCAAAUUACCACCAACGAAAUGGCUUGAAGUAGACCUGCGAUCUGUAAUAUUACCUACCCAGUCUGCGUCUGUGUACCCAGAAACAUCCAAGUGCCUAUGUUUUGAAAAAAUUAAUCCCUUCCCUGGAGCAGACUACAAAUACUUCAAAAUACGAAAUACAGCUUCCAUAUGAGCCUCAUUAGGAUUAUGCAUAAAUUGACUCACCACACUAACUGCAUAGGCUAAAUCUGGUCUGGUGUGAGACAAAUAAAUCAACCGGCCAACUAACCUCUGAUAUCGCGCCUUAUUUGUAGGCACUUGAUCCAAAUACUCUGCUAAUCGAUGGUUUUGCUCAAUAGGAGUAUCAGCUGGUUUACAAUCAAGCAUACCCGUUUCUGCUAAGAAAUCUAGGACAUACUUCCUUUGACUCAGCACAAUACAAUCCUUCCCACGAGCAACUUCAAUUCCCAAGAAAUACUUUAGACUACCCAAUCCAUCAUCUCAAAUUCAGAAGACAACAAAUCUUGUAACCUCUGAAUUUCCUCACUAUCAUCACCUGUCACAACCAUGUCAUCUACAUAUAUAAUUAAAGCUGUCACCUUACCACACCGGUGUUUAAGAAACAAAGUGUGAUCUGAAUUACUUUGUCGGUAUCCAAUCCUCUUCAUGAACUUAGAAAAACGUCCGAACCAUGCUCUAGGUGACUGCUUUAGACUGUAAAGGGACUUCUUCAGCUUGCACACUACCUGCUCUCCAGUUAAAGUACAAUGCCUAGGAGGCAAAUCCAUAUAGACUUCUUCAUGCAAAUCACCAUGCAAGAAAGCAUUCUUAACAUCAAACUGUUGCAACGGCCAAUCAAGGUUGGAGCUGACGAAAGAAGUACUCGUAUUGUAUUAAUUUUGGCUACUGGUGCAAAUGUCUCAUCAUAAUCCAUCCCAUACUUCUGAAUGUAGCCUUUCGCUACUAACCUCGCCUUGUACCUGUCCACAGAACCAUCCAAAUUAUGUUUCACAGUAUAGACCCACCGACAUCCAACCAACUUCUUCCCGGGUGGUAAUGACACUAACUCCCACGUACAGUUUUUCUCAAGAGCAUCCAUCUCAACUUUCAUUGUCUGCAUCCAUCUUUCACCCCGCAUUGCAUCCUGCACUUUACUAGGGAGAGACACACUAGAUAAUUGAUUCACAAACGCAACAUAUGGUUUAGACAACCUAUGGGUUGACACAUAAUUAGCAACAGGGUACCGAGCUUUUGCACUUAGAGUAGGUUCAUAAUGUUUCGGAGGCUGACCACGAGUGACCCGGUUAGGCAAUUGUUUGGUAGGCACAUUAGUAGACAGAGAGGAAGAAUUAGAAAAUACCUCGGGUGAUUCAUGAGCUUGAGAGACUUGUUCAGGAAAGGGAGAGACCUGGAUAUUGUUCACAUGAGGAUUUCCAUCAGUAAUUUUCUCCCUUGCCGACAAACUAGAUUGAGCUUGAUUGUCAACUAGCACCGAUUGACUGAUUGUACGUGAAACCGAGUCUGUAGGAUUACUACCCAAAACAUUGGGUGUACUGAUCAAAUUCUCGGUCUCCUUACUGCCCAGAACGCCGGAGCUGGAGCCGGCGCCGUCCAUGCUACUGCCCAGCAACUCUCCUCCGGCUGACUGAGUUUGCGCACCGGACACCGACAAGACGGGCUGACAGGAUUGACCUUCUCCGAUCGAUGCACAGGUGACGGGUGGACGAGACGAGCUGGUCCGAUCUAGAGAAGUCACAUCGAUCGGGGAACCAAGAGAACACUGAGAGUUCGACGAAUCCUUGGUGGCAUGUCGAUCUGGUGGCGUCGGUGAAUCAAGCGACGACACUAAAGGCUCGCCGGCGUGUUUGGGUCCAUUGUUCCUCAAUGACUGAUCGAGUUUUGGGUCGCAGCUUCUUGAUGAGGACGGCUGGUAGUAAACCAAUGGUUGACCAGUUGAUGGAGUAUUUCUUUCUUUUCCAAUUUCUUUUGUUGACUCCUCAAAAAAUUCACCAAACAAAUCUUCAUAAAAACAUGACUUCUCCCCCUGACGAGGAGUCAUCGGAGGUAAAAAAUAACACACAUCUUCGUUAAAGGUAACAUCCAUGGUGACAUAAAAUCUUUGGGAUGGAGGAUGAUAACACUUGUAACCUUUCUGAUGAGAACCAUAUCCCACAAACACACACUUAAGGGCUCUAGCAUCCAAUUUUGACCUUUGAUUCUUAUACAAAUGAACAUAAGCAAUACAACCAAAGACACGAGCAUGAAGAGUAUUUGAUGACGGAAUAGGGACAUAUUGAGACAAGACAUAAAAAGGAAUACGACCUUGAAGAGGAGGCUGACGGGAGACGAUUAAUUAGAUGAGACACACACAACACGGCUUCUCCCCAAAGGUACUUAAGCAUGUGAGCAAUUAGGAGGAGAGACCGUGCCAUGUCCAAGAGAUGACGAUUUUUCCGUUCUGACACCCCAUUUUGUUCAGGUGUUUAUGGACACGAAGUUUGAUGUAUGAUGCCAUGGUUCUGGAAAUACUCACUGAAAGAACGAUUGAAAAACUCACCUCCAUUAUCUGAACGAAAGAUUUUAACACGUGCAUCAUACUGAGUACGAAUAAGAUUAUGGAAGGCUAUGAAGGCAGAAAAAAUAGCAUCUUUGGACUUAAGCAACACCACCCAAGACAAACGAGUAAAAUCGUCAAUGAAUAACACAAAGUAACGCAUUCCAGAAAGAGUGGAAUUUUUUGAAGGACCCCAUAAAUCCGAAUGAAUUAAUUCGAAAGGCAUAGAACUCGAAUGAAAAACCAAAGGAUAACUAGACCUAUGACUUUUGGCCAAAACACAAGUUUCGCAGUGCAAGGUAGACUCAUUAAUUCCCAGAAACAAUGAGGGCAUGGACUUCUUCAUAACUCCAAAAGAUGGGUGGCCCAACCGUCUGUGCCACAACCAUAGUUCACUUAAUCGAUCAGAAUUCAAUGUCAGGGCCAAAGGUUGCUUCAGUGCUUGUGUCGGCUCAGCGUACAUGCAAUCCAGGUGAAAUAGUCUCCCCCUCAGGUCUCCCUUGCCAAUGAUCACCCUGCAACACAAAUUUUGAAACACAACAUACAUUGGGUAAAAGGUUACAGAACACUUAUUUUGAGAACUCAAUUGGGAGACAGACAAAAGAUGAUGGGAUAAUGAUGGUACAUAAAGCACAUCAUGCAAUAUAAUGGAUGGUGUAACCUGAAUAGACCCAAUACCUAGAACCGGAAAAGAUGCACCGUUCGCGUUUGAAACAUGAGAUAUAGAAGGGGAUGACAUAGACAUAAAGAAAGAUUUAUCAUAGGUCAUAUGGUCUGACGCGCCUGAAUCAAUAAUCCAAGUAUCACCACCAGUAAAGUUAGAAACAUGUAAAGCAACACCAAUUUUACCUCGAAUUUUCGUAGUCAAGGAAACAUUACCCUUUGAAAACUCUCUACCUUCAUUGUCAUAGAAGGACAAGCUUUGAGACGCCCCACUCUUCCCUUCAAUAGCUUUCAAAUCCACCAUUUUUCCAUCAAAUUAUUCUAAUCACCAGACAACAAAUUUUCAAAAGAAAUUGUCCAAGUUGCUGGACGUCACUGAACCGCCUUAGCCAAUCCAAUCACACAAGUUCACCUCACACAAUACAAGGCCUGCUCAACGUUUUUUUUUUCCAGACGUUGACAACUUUACCAAUCAACAAACACCUCAAUCAAUUAAACAAGCUUGCACCUCCACCAAUUGUACAAAGCUUGCUCUCGAUACCUCCAAGCCAAUUUAACAAAGCUAUAUCUUCACAACUAAAAAACCCAAACUCAACGAUCGAAACACCAAAAGAACUUCGCCAAUCUCAACAACUGAAAAAGCAGAAGAAAAAAAACUUCAAUGACCAAAAGAACCAAAUUCGCAGCGGAACAAAACCACCAAGUCCGAUGGAUCUUGAUUCGGCUCUGAUACCAAGUCAAAAGGAACCAAGAAAUUAUGAAUAUUGCAAUGAUAUUAACAUUCUCCAAAAACGGAGUAUAUAUACAAGAGAUAUCAAAACCUAUUAGGAAACUAACUAUGACAGGAUAUUCCUAAUAAUAACACAAUAUUCACAAUCCUAAUACUAUAUGGCAUGACUCACGCCAACACUAAAUACUAAAUACAAAUAUACACUUCCUAAAUACAAAUAUACACUUCGUAACAACACCACAACAUUGCAAUUGACCGGAAAAUCAAAGCAAACACAAAACGAAAUGUGAAACAGAAAUGUACUCGAGGAGGAGGGAGGGCUCGAGGCUGGAGCAGCAAGAGGAGGAGGGAGGACCGGAGUAGGAGGAGGAGGAGGAAGGACCGGAGCUAGGGAUGGCAAUAAUCCCCAGCGGGUAGGGUACCCACGGGUAUUCGACCCUAACGGGGAAGAUAUACGGGUAUAAACGGGUAACGGGGAUGGGGAUCCCCAAUAUUCGGAUUCUUAAAUCGGGUACGGGGCGGGUAUGAUAUUUUGAUAUUCGUCCCCAUCCCCACCCAUUAAUGAUGAAAAUAUUAUUAUAUAAUUUAUUAUAUAUAUAUAUAUUUAUAUAUAAUUUAUAAAUAAAUAUUUAUGUAAAAAAAUUUGUGAUUCUCUUAAUAAACAUUUAAUGGACCUUCCUUUUUAUUAUAUAUUUUUAUUGGAUUGAAGCAUGAAACUUGUUUAUUUUGGUAUUUGAUUUUAAUUUCAUACUUUUAUAUAAUUGUAUUUCGUAUUUAAAAAAAAAUUAAUUUAAUACAUAAUUGUUAGCGGGUACGGGUACGGAUAUGGAAACGUAAUCCCCAAAGGGUACGGGUAUGGGGAAUCCCCAUUAUCGAAUUACGGGUACGGGGACGGGUAUAAGGAUGAGAAAUGUAAAAGGGUAUGGGUACGGUAUUUUGAUCCCCGUACUCUAUCCUACCCAUUGCCAUCCCUAACCGGAGCAGCAGGAGGAGGAGGGAGGGCCGGAGCAGCUGGAGCAGGCGAGCAGGCGACCGGGAGAGGGAGAGAGCGGCGACCCGGAGAGGGAGAGGGCGACCGGGAGAGGGAGAUUGGGCUUUGCUAGGAGGCGGUGGAGGCUGUGGAGCGACGGCAUCACGGCGAGGCAGGCGAGGAGGUGGAGGUGGUGUUUAAUUAGGGUUUAGUCUCGCAGACUGGGGAGGCUGUCGAGCGUAGCGCGAUAUACCCGACAACUAUAGCCGACGAAAUAAAUAAAUAUUUCGUCGGCUAAAGAUAUAAAAUAUCGUCGGCUAAGACUAAACUCGUCGGCUAAAGGUUGAAAUUCGUUGGCUAAACCUUUCAAAUUCGUCGGCUAAACCCUUGAAAUUCGUUGGCUAAACGUUGAAAUUCGUCGGCUAAAACUUUGAAAUUAGUCGGCUAAAGUACCUUUUAUACAUUCGGCAAAUUGUGAUUGUGAUGAUCAAACUUGAGAAACUGAAAUCCGACCAUCAUGAUAAAAUACAUGUAUGAGAAAAAAUUCAACUUGAUCCGACAAGGUUAAGGGCUCGAUCCGGACGGUCAAUCCGUUAAGUCAAACCCCUAAACGCACGGAAAAGGUCAUUGGACCGCCUAAAUUACGUAUUUUGUCCGGACCUUCAACUGAAAAUAGUUUCAAACCGAUGAGACCCAACAAGUCAUAUAAAAAUUUUAUGGAAAAUAACCACCGAAUAUAGGGCUACCCAUAGGGAUAAAGAAUGGAAAAUUGCAUUGACCGCAACUAUCGGCACCAAGACUUUACCGGAAUACCUUGAUUUUUCAACCGUAGAUGUAUUUCACCAUUCUGGUCAUAUCUUAUUUCACGACUUUUUUGCGUUUGUAGGUUCUACAUUUAGUUUGUUUUUGAAACGGAACAUUUACUUGGAACACUUGGUAAACAAGUUAUACAACAUUAGUAGGCAUGUUGUGAUUGUGAUGAUCAAACUUGAGAAACAGAAAUCCGACCAUCAGAUCUGACCAUCAUGAUAAAAUACAUGUAUGGGAAAAAAUUCAACUUGAUCUGACAAGGUUAAGGGCUCGAUCCGGACGGUCAAUCCGUGAAGUCAAAUCCCUAAAUGCACGGAAAAGAUCAUUGGACCGCUUAAAUUACGUAUUUUGCUCGGACCUUCAAUUGAAAAUAGUUUCAAACCGAUGAGACCCAACAAGUCAUAUAAAAAUUUUAGGGUUUAUUGUUUAGGGUUUAGCCGACAAAAUAUUAGGGUAUUCGUCGGCUAACCUCAUCUUAGCCGACGAAUUAUGAUACAUUUCGUCGGCUAAGAUUGUUUAAGCCGACGAAUUAUGGUAUAUUUCGUCGGCUAAAAUGGUUUAGGCCGAUGAAUUAUGGUAUAUUUCGUCGGCUAAAGUGUAAAAAUACAUUAAAAAAACAAAAGGUUUAAACCAUACUAACUUCAUGUUCAUAUAUCACCAAAAUUCAUAUAAAAUAACAGAAAUAUGAAUUCAAUAUAUAUAAGCUAUAAAGGUUAUACAUUCUUUUUUAUUACAAAUUAAUGUAAUCGAAAUUAAAACUAAGGCUCGUAAUCGGAAUCAUCCGAUGAGACUUCUUCGGUGUCAGAAUUAAUUUAUGGUAAUCUAUGCAUUUCCUCAUCGCCAGAGUUUUCGUCUGUUUCUUGAUUUGGAUCAACAUCAAUAAGCCUUGGCUCUUCAUCACGAAUUCGCACCGAACGACCCGCUUUAAAAUUAUUAAGGCGAACGGUAGAGGAGUUAGGAAUACCUGUUGCGUUGGGCUCUUGAUACGCAACAUCUUCUUCCUCGUCUUCGGCCUCUCCAAGUGUAGCCGCCCGGUAAAUGUUUCGAGGGUGCACAAGGUUGACUACUUUCCAUGCGUCACCCUUAGCAAGGUCAUCAAGAUAAAACACUUGUUUUACCGAUGUGGCAAAAACGAACGGGUCAUCUUGCCAUGAUAUAAAUGAUGUCCUCUUGCAUUUCCCGGAGGUUAGAUUUUUUCACUUCCCGUGUGCAUAACUUCUGGAAGAAUCCUGCUAACGCUACUAACGGCUCCACCACCAGACGGGGAAGGAACGGUCGAAUGAAAACAGGGAAGAGACGUUGUAGCAGGAUAUGACAGUCAUGACUCUUCAACCCGUACAUCUUAUUGUCCCGGAAGUUCACACACCAGGCUAUAUUUCCUGCAUAGCCUGAAGGAUACUUCACACAACUCAUCCACCUAAAAAUUACGUUCUUCUGGUCAGGCUUCAGGGUGUAAGGAGCUUGAGACAUUUUUUUUUCUUCCCUUCUUUCAACCACAUAUGUCUUCUUAAUUGCAUUCUUUUUAGAUCAAUGCGUGCCUUAGGACCGUCUUUCGUCUUCCCCUCCAAGUUCAGCACUGUGCCCACCACACUGUCGCAAACAUUCUUUUCUAUGUGCAUCACAUCUAGGUAGUGCCUGAUCAACAACUUACUUCAGUAUGGGAGUUCCUAGAAUAUGCUCUUAUGUGUCCAGAAUUUGUACCUGUCGGGUCUUUCAGGUAUUGCCGCUACAAUAUUGGGAUGAUUGCUGAGCUACCCAAAAUCGUACUCAUUAAGCACUGCUAAAAUAUCUUGUUGCAAUGACUGCUGCUCCCCUCAUCACUAAGGCACUCUGGACAAGCCUUGUAUCCCCUAACAACGUUGCCUGACAACAUCCCACGGGCAGGAAAAUCACUGAUGGUACCAACAACCAUGACAUGCAUCUGGAACAUCUCGUGCAUGUACUUGUCAUAAGUGGGAUGACCAACGUCCCACAAAAACUUAAGCUCUUCAAUCAAAGGUCUCAAAUACACAUCGAGACACUUCCCUGGAUAACCGGGCCCCGGAAUCAACAAACUCAACAUAUUGUAUUUCUUCUUCAUGCACAUUCAUGGAGGAAGGUACGGUACCAAAAUCACCGGUCAUACACUGUAUUGAAGACUCAUGUUGCCAAAAGGGUUGAACCCGUCGGAUGAGAGCCCGAGCCUCACAUUUCGGACCUCUGACGCAAAAUGAGGAAACUCCCUGUCUAUAUGCUUCCAAGCCUCCCCGUUAGCAGGGUGUAUAAGGGUAUCUUCGUCAUGCAAUUCCCUAUCAACGUGCCAUCUCAUAGCUUCGGCCGUGUGUGUAGACAUGUACAACCGCUCCAGCCUAUCCCUCAACAAGAAAUACCGAAGUACCUUCACAGGUUCCUUAUUGCCUACAGGAGUCAGUUUAUACAUGUCAGUGUGACAUACCGGACAUGCGUCACGGCCACCAAGGUCAUUCCCUUCUGGAUCUUUACCCCAGAAGAGAACGCAGUCAUAUCUGCAUGCAUGGAUCUUGAUGUAGGAAAGCCCAAGAUCUUUCAGGAUACAUCGGACAUUUUGAUGAGUGGUAGGAAGACGAUGACCGUGGGGCAGCAUCGAAGCAGUGUACUGUAGAUAAUCAUCAACAGCCUUCACGGUCGAUUUUGUCUCAACUUUAAUCUUCAUUACGUCCAUCACACUUUCAAGAACGGUCUUCUGACAACCGGGGUACACAGGGGUCUGUUGGAAAGCAAGCAGUUUGUUGUACUUAUACCAGCAGUGUUGACAGCUCUAGGGAAGGGCUGCACCGAUUCAAGCAUAUACUGUCCUUGAGCGCAUACACCGCUCUCAUAAGGAAACAUGUCGUUGACCGUUGUUGGAUCGUUGGAUGUACUGCCCGUCUCAGAAAAUUGCCCAUGAUCAUGCGGACCCCCUGAUGAUGUUUCACUAUGAUAUAACCAACAUGUGUACUUCUCCCAAAACCCGUUACUCUUCAGGUGCUAUGCCAUACUUUGUCAAUCGCAGAUCGAUGCAUUUCGUGCACGGGCAAUAGAAAAUUGUAUUCCCGUUAGCAUUAGCCGGCGCAUAUUCCAGAAAACUCAUAACUCAUUUACCAUAUCUUUUGUCCCAUUUUGGAAGCGAAAUCCAACUCUUAUCCAUAUCAUGAAAAUAUAACAAAAUAUAUAUGUAUAACUCUAGCUAAUUAUUAAUUAAAUUACAUAUAUAAAAUCUCAAUUCAUUUAGUAUUCUACGUACUACAACUAAUUAAUUAAUAACAAAUUAAUUAACAUAUAUAUACUUAAUAAUUACAUAACAAUAUUAUAUAUCAACAGUUACAAUUGUAACACAUAUUAACUCUCCUUUCAUAAGUACAUCUGUUACAAUUGUAACACAUAUUAACUCUUUUUUGUCUGUUAUUCUCCUUAACUUCAUGAUUUGAAUAUUGUCUACAAGCCUUUAUUCUAUCAUGAUUAUAUCUUCUCAUACACUACUAUAUAUACUCUUCAUGUCAAGCUUAUCUAGAUAUACACAAUGAAAAACUCAUCCUAUUCUCUAUUCUGAUUUCUCCCUAGUCAUUCCUCUUGUGAGUCCAACCAUAUUAUGAGUUAUGCCAAAAGGAGUUAUCAAGCGGUUCUAGGAUCCAAGUAUUGCGAGUGUACGCUUACGAGGAUCAACGGUUGUUGUACCCUGAAGGGUAGGGCGCCAUAAACCAAUUACACCGAGACAUUGUCUUCGAGGAGCGAAAUCUACUCUUAAGGGCAGUGUUUACACGCCUCAACCUUAAACAUUUUCUUGAACAAGUGUUUGAUGCAGGCUUUAUUAUCAAAGAUGAGUAUUUAUAUGGGAAAAUGCCCAUUUAGUACUAAUUUAAACCUCUUAUUGCCUAUUCCAAUGAAUUUAAUAGAUUUGAGCCCAUUCCAAUAUAAGGCGUUCUUAUUUGUGCCAAAAUACACAAAUCUAUAUUAAAGUCAUAAUAAAAUAAUAAUUUUUGUAUAUUUUUAAGACAAUUUUACCCUCACCACUUCAACAUGUAUAAGGAGAGAGAAAAUAAAAGAGUGAGAAGACUCUGCCGGAACCUCACUGGACUCCGGUCACCGGUCGCCGAAAUUUCUUCGGUCGCCGGUUAUUGACCCCUAGUAACUCAGAUUUUAUUCGGUCGUCGGAUUUCGGUCAUUGGUCACCGGUAACUCGGUUACUGACCCCCAAUAACUUGGUUACUAACCCUCAAUAAUCAGUUACUGACCCCCAAUAACUUGGUUUCUGACCCCCAAUAAUCAGUUACUGACCCCUAAUAACUUGGUUACUGACCCCAAAUAACCGAGUUACCAACCCCUAAUAAUCGAGUUACAGAUUCCUUAAAAAGGUUAUUGACCCCAAUAAUCUACAAUAACCCCCAAUAAUCAGGAUUGGCCUGAGUUGCUGACCCCAAAAAAAGCUUAUUCAUAGAGAAACUAAUCAAAAUGCAAUAAAAAAGGAAAAAAAAAUGAAGAAAGAAGUUUAACUAUUUGCCGUUCAUACUAACUAUUUGCAUAUGUGAUGAACUAAAUGCAAUGUACUAGUCAAAUGUAAAAACUUCAGGCCUAACAAUUCAUACCAAAACGCAGACAAAAAAAAAAAGAGGACGCANNNNNNNNNNNNNNNNNNNNNNNNNNNNNNNNNNNNNNNNNNNNNNNNNNNNNNNNNNNNNNNNNNNNNNNNNNNNNNNNNNNNNNNNNNNNNNNNNNNNNNNNNNNNNNNNNNNNNNNNNNNNNNNNNNNNNNNNNNNNNNNNNNNNNNNNNNNNNNNNNNNNNNNNNNNNNNNNNNNNNNNNNNNNNNNNNNNNNNNNNNNNNNNNNNNNNNNNNNNNNNNNNNNNNNNNNNNNNNNNNNNNNNNNNNNNNNNNNNNNNNNNNNNNNNNNNNNNNNNNNNNNNNNNNNNNNNNNNNNNNNNNNNNNNNNNNNNNNNNNNNNNNNNNNNNNNNNNNNNNNNNNNNNNNNNNNNNNNNNNNNNNNNNNNNNNNNNNNNNNNNNNNNNNNNNGAGAGAGAGAGAGUUUUAGAUCUGGAGAAGAGUGAGGGACGGGAGAAGAGAGAGGGAGAGAGAUAUGAUGUAUUUGACUACUAAGGGUAUAAACGUCUUUUUCUUUAAAUUCAUUAGAAUGGGCUUAGACAAAAGAUUUUCAUUGAAAUUGGGUUUGUAUAUAUUGUUUGACUAAAUGAGUAUUUUCUCUAUUUAUAUUUUGUUAUUUUAUUGUUAUUUUGACAUCAUUAUAAGUAUUAUUAUUUGUUAAUAAUUUUGAGUAUUUAUGUGAUUUUAUAGGUAGCAAAAUUUGGUGACGUUAUUAACAUCCAUCGACCCAAAUUUUCCAACACUGAUAACUAUAAUUACUCACAAUCUGAUUAACUUGUGUGUACAUGCAUACUUAAUUUGCAAGUCUUAACGUAGAACAAAGCUUCUAAUUCUAGUCGGAUUUGUUUAAUGUACGCGCGUUGUCAUUUUAAUUUCAUACAUUAGUACUAAAAUACUACAUGAGAACUUACACGCCAACAUGGUGACUGGGUGGGAGUCUGAAACUUUGUUGUUCACGCACUGUUAAUAUACCCUGUAAAUACAGAUCACACACCAUGUAACCCUCCUAUAUAUUCUCAUUUUCUCAAGUCAAAAAUAAACAUUCUCACCUUUUACUGAUCAGUUACUCAAACUGGUUUACAAAUGAUAAAUGUGCUGAAGGUUUGAAGUUGAAGUGAAUUACCAAUUCAAGUAUAAGCAUUGAACCACAUGCGCUAUCGAUAAAUUAAUUUGUCAAGUUAAUUUCACAGAAAAUAAAAAUAAGAAAAAUGCCCAUUUAGUACUAUAAUUUAAACCCUUUAUUGCCCAUUUCAAUGAAUUUAAUAGACAUGAGCCAAUUCCAAUAUAAGAUGUUCUUAUUUGUGCCUAAAUACACAAAUCUAUAUUUAAGUCAUAAUAAAAUAAUAAUUUUUGUAUAUUUUGAAGACAAUUUUACCCUCACCACUUCAACAUGUAUAAAGAGAGAGAAAGUGAAAGAGUGAGAAGACUUUGCGGGAACCUCGCCGGACUCCGGUCAUCGGUCACCGGUUGCCGGAAUUUCUUUGGUCACCGGUUAUUGACCUUUAGUAACUCAAAUUUUCUCCGAUCGCCAAAUUUCGGUAUUUGGGUACUGACCCCCAAUAAUUAGUUACUGAGCCCCAAUAACUUUGUUACUGACUCCCAAUAAUUAGUUCCUGACCCCCAAUAACUUGGUUACUGACCCCCAAUAAUCAGUUACUGACCCCUAAUAAUCAACUUAUUUCAGCUUAUUAUAAUAGAAAAGAAGAAAUACUAAAAAAAAAUCGAUUUACUGACCUCAUAAUUGAGUUACUGACCCCCAAUAAUUUGGUUUACUGACCCCCAAUAACUCGGUUAUUGACCCCCAAUUAUUAAUUACUGACCCCCAACAACUUGGUUACUGACCCCCAAUAAUCAAUUUAUUUCAGCUUAUUGUAAUAGAAAAUAAGAAAUAUUAGAAAAAAUCGAUUUACGGACCCCAUAAUUGAGUUACUGACCCCUAAUAAUUUGGUUUAUUAAGAGGUAAUAAAUAUUGAGAAAUUGUUUACUACCCCAAUAAAUGUUUAUUAACCCUAAUAAACGUUAGAAAAUGAAGCUAUUACUUCCACAAAUCCUCUUAUAGAAGCUAAUAUAAGGUUUACAAGGAGAUAAUAUCUAAAAUAUAUAUGCAUUGUACAAAGUCACCAACACCACACAACCUCUCUUCAACAGUAAAUUAUUGACCCCAUUAAUCAUGGUAUUGACCUUUAUUAAUGAUUACUAACCCUUGAUAACAUGUUAUUAACCCUCAAUAAACAUUUUCCUCUUCAUGAACCCGUUCUGCAAAUGGCAACCUUACCAUGGACCCGAUCUGUAAUCAACACAUGGUCUACCCACCGCAUCUCUUCCCCCGCUCCUUCAGAUCCGACCCGGUCUUCACCAAAGACGACCUUGACAGCACUACGGCAGUGGAGGAUUCAGAUCUGGAGAUGAAAAUCCAGAUAGUCUCGGAGGAGAUCGGCGCCUUGCUCGUUUGGUUCCACCAGUGAACGACUUCGCUGCGGUAAAAGGUGUUGCUGCAAUGAAAGGCGUCGCUGCGGAGAGUGGUUCCACCGGUGACGGCCUCGCUAUGGUGAAUAACGUCGCUGCGAUGAACAACGUUGCUGUGGAGAGCGGCGACAUUUCGAUCCCUCCAGCAUGAACCGUGUCGUGGCUCACAGAUCGAAUAGAGGGAGAGAGAGAGAGAGAGAGAGAGAGAGAGAGAGAGAGAGAGAGAGAGAGAGAGAGAGAGUAGUAGUAGUAUNNNNNNNNNNNNNNNNNNNNGAGAGAGAGAGAGGAGGGUAGUUGUCUUUUUUUCAAAAUCAUUGGAAUGGGCUGGCUAAACUUUUUUCAUUAGAAUGAGCUAUUAAAACCCUGAUUUUGACUAAAUAGACAUUUUUCCAUAAAAAUAUCAUCACCUUUACUAUUCAAUCUCUCCUACAGUCAUACAUGAUUAAAGAUCUUAGGAUUGCAACACUAAUUCUGUUAAUCUGCAGUCAAAUACUUUACUUUUGGCUCAAGAGCUCGACUAAAAUAUUCUAUGGGUAUUUCAUAUAUGAAAGAGGUUAUCAUUUAUUAGUUGAUAUUUUAUGACGAUGUAAGAGACUAAGCUCAGUACUCAUAUGUACCAAUAACAAGUGAUUUGUUAAUCUCUAAGUUACACUGAGUUUUGAGAUUUUUUGUUAUUAUUUAUUGUCUACUAUAAGAAUUUAAUUUCCUCCAACAUUUCAAAAUAAAUCAAUGGAGAAAAAAGUGAAGUUUAAGAACAAAAAGUGAUGCAUCAUUCUGUUAGAAGGAGCUAGAAGUCCAUGGCAAUUAUUAUUUGGGAUUUGGCUUUGCAUGUGCAUAUAUGCUGAUCAUUAAAUACUGGAUUGAAAUGAGAAUUAGAAUUUUUUUUUCUUAGAAUUUUUUUUUCUUAGAAAAGAAAUGAGAAUUAGGUUGAGCAACUGAGCAAGAGAAAUAAAAUGAAUAUGAGAAGGAUAGUGACGUGAGUUGUAUGAACAAACAAUAGAAGCCUUGUGACUAGGAUUAGUCGUCAGGUACUGACAGGCCGGGCAGGCCGAAACUGUAAAAAUAGUUCAGAGUUGUGAUUCCUAGUACGCAGUCUCAGACUCACAGUAACCUACAUAGAGAGUUUCUGACUUUACUUUUAGCAGUUGAGAAUUAUACUAAUAAUUGCCAACCAUGUUUUUAUAUUCGUGAAGAAACAUACCAUAUAUGCACUAGCUACAACAAUACAAACUAAUUACACCCUAAUGCUUUUCCAAUCAGCCUCGCCUUAAAAAUACUAGCUAAUUCAUGCUUAGUGUGAUUGAUAAUCCAAUCGUAUUUGUAGAAAGUGUUAGUUCAUGAAGACAUUAUCAAAGUAAGGAAACACCUUUAGGAGAUUCACUAAAUUCCUUAACAAAUAAGAAAAGAAAUCAAUUGAGAUAUUAACACUUCCGGACUUAAUUAUAUGCUAAAUAAGUUAAUUUCCUCCAAUAUUUCAAACUAAAAUUAGAAAAGUGAAAAUGGCAUGCAUUAUGUGAAUGCGCAGCAGAUUGGCGGUCAUUCUAUUUGAGAAACAAACAUGCAUUAUGUGCAUGCAUGUGUGUGUGUAUAAAUGCACAAAUCAUAUGCAAACCACACCACCGAGGAAAAAAAACGAAAUGAUGAUGAGAAGAAUCGUAGUGAAAGUUGUGUGACACUGAUAGAACAAAGAUUGAAGAAUAUAAAUAUGAACAGCUAAACCCGGCCAAUACAAAAGAAAUUCAUGCGAAUUAAUGAAAAUAACUGCACGAUCAGGAUGCAUAUGAAACUUCUUCAUUUUUAGAUGUUUAUCAACGCAAAUGAAUAAGAUUGUCAAGUGUCAACUAAUCGAACUCUAAUUCUGUUAACAUAUAUAAUUGUUAUUAGCCAUAUAUAGUUUACCGACCAUGCAUGCACGCACACAUGCACUGAUGCACAUCGAGUUUGCAUUUUGCAGAAACAAUUAACUGUGUAUUUUUUCUUUAUUGAGAUCGAUUGAAAUGAAAUACAAGUACAUCACUCAACCAAAAUAAAUUGACAGAAUGAUAAACAAAAAUGUAAGCCACACAAACAUAUAGAAAUGGGAGACAUGCGUAUGCCUCUAGCUAGCUUGGAGUAUAGUAGAGAUCGAGAUAGUUUAGUUGUAGGCAUCA